rnacentral:rRNA from 1 species
UACGGAGGGUGCAAACGUUGCUCGGAAUCAUUGGGCGUAAAGCGCACGUAGGCGGCUAUGUAAGUCGGGUGUGAAACCUCCAGGCUCAACCUGGAGACGCCACUCGAUACUGCUGUGACUAGAGUUCGGUAGGGGAUCACGGAAUUCCUGGUGUAGCGGUGAAAUGCGCAGAUAUCAGGAGGAACACCGGUGGCGAAGGCGGUGAUCUGGGCCGACACUGACGCUGUAGAGCGAAAGCGUGGGGAGCGAACAGG